UACGUAGGGUGCAAGCGUUAAUCGGAAUUACUGGGCGUAAAGCGUACGCAGGCGGCUUUGCAAGACAGGUGUGAAAUCCCCGGGCCUAACCUGGGAACUGCAUUUGUGACUGCAUAGCUAGAGUUUGUCAGAGGGGGGUGGAAUUCCACGUGUAGCAGUGAAAUGCGUAGAUAUCGGGAGGAACACCAGUGGCGAAGGCAGCCCCCUGGGUCAACACUGACGCUCAUGCACGAAAGCGUGGGGAGCAAACAGG
rnacentral:rRNA from 1 species